UGGGGAAUAUUGCACAAUGGGCGCAAGCCUGAUGCAGCAACGCCGCGUGAGGGAUGAAGGCCUUCGGGUUGUAAACCUCUUUUAGCAGGGAAGAAGCGAAAGUGACGGUACCUGCAGAAAAAGCACCGGCUAACUACGUGCCAGCAGCCGCGGUAAUACGUAGGGUGCAAGCGUUGUCCGGAAUUAUUGGGCGUAAAGAGCUCGUAGGCGGUUUGUCACGUCUGCUGUGAAAAUCCAAGGCUCAACCUUGGACUUGCAGUGGGUACGGGCAGGCUAGAGUGCGGUAGGGGAGAUGGGAAUUCCUGGUGUAGCGGUGGAAUGCGCAGAUAUCAGGAGGAACACCAAUGGCGAAGGCACAUCUCUGGGCCGUAACUGACGCUGAGGAGCGAAAGCGUGGGGA
rnacentral:rRNA from 1 species